rnacentral:rRNA from 1 species
CGUCGAAGGUGGAAUCAAUAACUGGGGUGAAGUCGUAACAAGGUAGCCGUAUCGGAAGGUGCGGCUGGAUCACCUCCUUUCUAAGGAGA